rnacentral:rRNA from 1 species
UCUUAGCUUGCUAAGGCCGAUGGCGACCGGCGCACGGGUGAGUAACACAUAUCCAACCUGCCGUCUACUCUUGGACAGCCUUCUGAAAGGAAGAUUAAUACAAGAUGGCAUCAUGAGUUCACAUGUUCACAUGAUUAAAGGUAUUCCGGUAGACGAUGGGGAUGCGUUCCAUUAGAUAGUAGGCGGGGUAACGGCCCACCUAGUCUUCGAUGGAUAGGGGUUCUGAGAGGUUAACCCCCACACUGGUACUGAGACACGGACCAGACUCC